rnacentral:rRNA from 1 species
AUUGAACGCUGGCGGCAGGCCUAACACAUGCAAGUCGAACGAGUGGCGGACGGGUGAGUAAUGUCUGGGAAACUGCCCGCUGGAGGGGGAUAACUACUGGAAACGGUAGCUAAUACCGCAUACCAUCGGAUGUGCCUAGAUGGGAUUAGCUAGUAGGUGGGGUAACGGCUCACCUAGGCGACGAUCCCUAGCUGGUCUGAGAGGAUGACCGGCAACACUGGAACGGAGACACGGUCCAGACUCCUACGGGAGGCAGCAGUGGGGAAGAUUGCACAAUGGGGGCAAGCCGGAUGCAGCCAUGCCGCGUGUAUGAAGAAGGCCUUCGGGUUGUAAAGUACUUUCAGCGAGGAGGCGUUACUCGCAAAGGAAGCACCGGCUAACUCCGUGCCAGCAGCCGCGGUAAUUC